UCGAUAAGCCAACGACCCGAAAGGUUAUAAAGAUAAGUGUACAUAUCGCGUAAAUAGAAUAUCGAUUCACGCUACAAAAAUAUUGGUACAGCAAAAUGCACGCACACAAAGACAAACUUAACGCCAUUAACAAGGAAGGUUUCGACGAACUAAAAAUAAGAAUUGGACUAGUUCUGGGAAUAUAGCGUGGCUGCUGAAGUGUUUUAUGUUUUUCCGCUGUUUUUCCCUUCCUUAAUAUUUUCCUUUUAGCAUCCACUCGUUUCUGCCGCCUGCAAUGAUGAGUAUAAUUUCAUCGGGCAGGAUAUGGCAACUAUAGCGGCAGGUAGUCGAUUCCAAUCACGUAUCGGGAAAAACUGCGACAUUUUGUGGCACGGACACGUGCUGAAUGUCAAAGUUUUUCAUGUCAAUCACCACAGCAUGUCCACGUGUAGCUUGGAAUUGAGAGCAUAGGCCGCUGAAACAGUCUGCCAGCAUUCACAUCCCUCAACCCCGUCGCAGAUUGUGUGAGCGGCAAACAGCGCAAAGCAGUGUAACCAGUGCAACGGUUGAGUGAUUGAUAAUUGGGUUUUAAUGACGCUAGGGUAAUCAGUGCAACGGAUCAUUACAUGAUGCCCCCUUCCGCAUUGUCGGCUACCCACUAUAAAUAAAGCUGUUGUCGAUGUCGAAAAAUCACUGCAAUGUCGGAAAAUCACUGCACUAGCCGCCCAGCGCAGCGUCACCCAACUUCAAAUUGACGCUUACGAAAAAGCCCUUCCUUUGACGCUGCUUAUGGGAUAUUCCUUCAACCAAUCAUCAAGCUGACAUGGCGGCUAUCUUGGACCACGACCACAUAUUCGCAAUAUUGCAGAUGCAUUGCACGGGCUUCUGCAAGCUACCACUCACUUUCUUUUGAAGCGCUAACGUCGCAAUAUAUAGCGCGAAUUUGCAGCUCCACGUCACGUUUCGUCAUCUUGAUGAAAACGCAAAAUUUCAUUUUGCAAAACUUCCGCUUCGAAGCACGAAUUUCAAAACAUAUGCCCUCUCGAUAGCCAAUCAGACAGGAAAAAAAGUGGAUAAUGCCGGCUGUGCGAAUGAACACGCACGCGACGAAGCUGAUGGCGUCAUUUCUGCUUAUGCUGGCAAUCCAAAGCCGACGCUUGUCUGACAAUAAGAGACUGAUAAAUGACAAAAAUAUACGAAGGUGCAGUUCGUUCAAUGUCCCGCGUGAGCUCUGUAUGCUGAUUACAUGUUUGUAAUAAAUUAUAGCAAGCCGGUGACGUCCAACAUAUCUCUGGUGGGCGAGCCUGACUGUUGCGCUCCGAACGACGUCUACAUGCGCUGUAGCUCGUGGACACUGAUCGCAGUGCAUGUCGAGUUCUUGGCGCAAUUGAGUAAGAUUGUAGCUCCUUGAAGUAGAGGGAAAUGUGCUUGCACUUGAAGCUAGUGCAUGCGGAGUGAAAAAUGCGUGUUGCGAGUUGUGGUUGGUGGAUUGCGCUCACAGGAGACGCACUGUUUGUAUGAAGUCAGUUUGUUUCUGGUGGCUGGACAUGUGCGUUUUCUGAAAAGAGUACUCGUAGCUCCUUGUUUUUGAGGCGGUGUUUCUGUAGCUUUGGUAUGCCAGAAACUUUCACCUGUCCUUGUGGUCGUUGCUUGCACUGUUGUCGCAUUUGUGGUGUUGAAGAAACCUUUGACGACGUUCAUUCCUAGGAAACUCACAUACUACUUGCGUCUUCGGUUCAGUUGACUUUGCGCAGAUGUCUUCUUGGUAUGGCUUCUGCUCUUUCAACGGCACUAGUUUUCCACGUCGUCGUCAUCUGUGUCGGAUUCGUCCUUGCAUUAGCCGAACUUGUUCUUGGUGUUGGUGGCAGCAAGCUUGGUGCUGUGGCUUGUCUGACGGUGAGGCCCAUAUGUUAGGCUCCUCAGAAAACCUUCCUGCUGUAAUGCCACUAGUGAUGGACGUCUCUAUUAUAGGUGGCACUAUGAGACAUUUGUUACUGCUGGUGAUGCUUCAAUGGCAGAUGGUUGUUGGGGGCUAGUGCUCGGAAGACUGCUCAGAUGUGGCGAAGCAGUUUCAAGUCAACAGGUGAGCUGUUCAUAAGUUGCUGUUCAUAAGUUGCUGUUCAUAAGUUGCUGAUAAGAGCGAAUGGUUUUCCUUGUGUAAUGAACAUGAGCUCUUGCUGGUUUCCUUGUGUUGUCUUGGCAGGAAAGCAGUCUGAUUCAUGUCACCGCUGGAAGUAAUAGCUGGGAUAUUUUCUUGGUUGGUGUGGAAGGUACCGUUGUCUGAGUCCAUGCAGCCUGCAAUCCUGGAUGCUCGAUCACUGAACAAUGCCGCAGCGGAUGUGGUUUCAUCAUGUGCUUCCAGUAAUAAGUCUGUCUCGAAACAUCGGGUUCUCAUGCGGGUAUUAAGCGAUCCUGUGUGGCAUGGACUAACCUGCAGGUGGUAGGCUGGGCGUACGAGAUGAAGUAAACGCAUCAGAUGCUUCAACGAUGACAGGAGUCCGAUAGCAUGAUAAAGGCGCAUAUAUUGGCAAUUUCUGCACGGAAUUGUAGCCUGGUGAAAGGUUGGGUCUUGAAGAAAAGCGACGUGGAUAUUUCUCAGUGAACGAAGGCUUUGUCCAUUGUGCGAGGUGAAACCAUACUAGGCAUGUCAUUCUAUUUAGUUUUUCGGGAGAAUCACUACAUGUCGAACUUGUCAGCGAUCUACUAACACGGGGCUUUGUUUGCUACUGAUGAUGAAUGCUACGUGAACACUGAGUGUCACUGCCGUGACCCAGUUGAAAUGUAUCCAGCUGGUGGAUAAUGGAGGGGUUGCAUACUUUAAAUCGGCUGACCAUUUCGUCAUUGAUUUCGUUCCACGAUUCGCCGUUUACAAAUAUGAGCACCACGUAAAAACAGAAGGCCUCACCGGUGGCGUAUUCGUUGAAGUUUGUGACCAUCUCCCGUUCCGACCAGCAUUCAGCUGUUGCAUAGAGCUCGCAAUGGUGGAAACAGCCCUCUACGGGCCCAUCGUUCGUUGAUCCGACGUACUUGGGGACGUCCAAGGCUUCCGACGAUGCAGUCAUGGUGCUGGAUUGUAUAGGUGGUGGGAGUCUGCGUUGGGGUUUCACGGCUAGGUGUUGAAGAUUCCUUGGUGAUGUGAGGCCUAUGAAGUUGCUGCCAGGUACACAUAUGUGUACACAAGUACACAUAUCCUGUGUACUUGUGUGACACGAGCACGAGGUUACGGGCGUACACAAACAUUAUCGCCCGAACACUGCCUUCAUUUUUCCUCUACGUCUCCUUUCCAGACACCGUCAUUCCGUGCACCGUUACGUACAUAUAGUAUAACUCCGGUCUCUUGUUAUUGCGCAGAUACCCUUUUGAGGUUUGAUUACAACCUAUGACAAACUUGAUAAAUCUUUUCCCGGCCCUCUCGAUAUUAGAGCUGUCCGCCAACUUCAAACUUUGAGUCUGACUCGAGAAAGUUAACCUUCCAUUAGCCCAUGUGUACAUAUUUUCUGGAGCACAGAAAUCAGUUCAUAUCAUUUUUCACAACCUUGGAGUGCCUGGAAAAGAAAUUUGUGAUUGCCUUUACGGAGCGGUGCAUAUAUUGCCACUGCAAAUCUUCAUCUCGUAUCCUGAGUCUGUUAUCCAGAAAUUGAAGUUGUCUGUUAGGAGGUAACGCCAGAGGUAAAGUUCAAAAUUUCCAACCCUUUCCCCUUUCCCAUGUGUAGGGCGCGUCCUUGGUUAAUCUCUCUGCCUUUCCUUCUCAUCACUUUCUCUCUGUCUCUCUCAGACGAAAAGCUGCAUUUCCUGAAAUCUUUAAGAUAUCAACAACGUUAUGGUAUAGGUCACAUUUGUCUGUGGUGACUAGACAAUCAUCGAUGUACCGAAAUACACUCUUCAGCCAUGCCACCAAAAUUCUUGGCGAUACAUCUGUCAACGCGACUAAGAAAAUUAGAACUUCUGGUAACUGUUGCUAAUCCAUACGUGAGGGAUCCCUCCUUAGGCAAGUGACAGCGACAGCAUAAAGGAAGAAAAGACCGGAGCAAGCGUGGACCGAAACAGAUGGCCACCACGGUUCGGACCCGGGAAUUCCUCACAAACUUAAAACUGGGGUGCACCUUUGAGCCGAUACAGACCACAGAGUUUUGCAUAAACGUCUUCUCAUUCCACACAACACAUGUAGAACAUGUAGAACGUAAAUGGAGCAGCAGUUUUUCCAGAAAUAUUUCCAAAGUAGUUGCAGAGUUAACAGUGAAUUACCUCCAUCAUUCUCCUCAACCAAACAUGACAACGCUCUGCAAUAUUUCAUCAUCUGGAAGUGAAUAAAACAAGUCUUCAAUUUCUAUAAUAAAAACCGAAUAAGAACGGGAGCUAUGGGCUCGUGUUGGCAAAGUCCCGUAUUAACAAAAAGCUCUGUGAAUUUUGCCCCCGUGUCUUAUGAAAGCUAACCACACAAUUCGGACGCUCGGACAGCGUUGUUAUAAUACAACUCUGACUACUCAAAUCUAAUCCUAGAAAGUUCUGUCAAAUUCAAUCUCCUGAACGCCAUACUAAUGACAUUCCGUUAAACAAUGAAAGCAACACCCCUAUUCCUAACAGUGAGUGCGUACAAGUUUUCAAUAACUUCUUUUCAUCCGUAUUCACGAAAGAAACUAUCACUAAUUUGCACAUUGUUGUAGACCGAGGUUACCGAUACAUGAAAUCUAUUGACAUUACUAUUGAUGGUAUAACUCAGCUGAUAAAUAACUUGAAAGUUUCGUCUUCAGCAGGUAUUGACAAUAUUAAUUGUAAAUUACUAAAAAACACCGUCUCAGUAUCCCCCCUAGCAGGUUUUUAUUCCAUAUUUUUGAUCAAUCUUUAAUGACCGGUCAGAUUCAUGAAGAUUGGAAAAUCGACAGUCAUACCCAUUUUGGAAGAUGAUAACAAAAACCUGGCUGAAAACUACCGACCGAUAUCGCUGACUUGCAUAUGUUAUAAAAUCAUGGAACACAUUAGAUUUCAAGUUUAUCAUCACCUAGAAUCAAAGAACUCCUUUUUUUCAUGCUCAGCAUGGUCUCAGGAGAGGUUUGUCGUGCGAAACGCAAUUGCUUUUAUUUACGACAGAUCUACAUUUUAACAUGGACUCAAACAUUCACACUGACUGCGUCUUUCUAGAUUUUUCUAAAGCUUUUGACCGCGUAGUCCAUUGUCGCCUAUUUUUGAAACUAUCAUCCUUAAAACUUGAUUCACUAGCUUUACCCUGACUUCGAAAUUUUCUUUCAAACAGGGCAGCAGUUUACCUUCGCUAACAGCUUUUCUUCGCCCCUUUCCGAUGUUUCUUCGGGUGUACCACAAGGAAGCGUUCUUCAUCCCUUACUCUUUAUUAUCUACAUUAAGACCUACCUAAUGGCUUAUCAUCAUGCAUGCGCAUAUUCGGUGAUGACUGCAUUAUCUAUCGUCCCAUUAACAGCUCUAAUGACCACCAGAUCCUCCAAAAGGAUCUUAACCAAAUCGCUAAUUGGUGUGACACCUGGCUAAUGACUCUAAAUUAAUCUAAAUGUAAAGUGAUGUCCUUCAGCCGCAAACGCUCGAACUCAUACUAUUCUUACUAGAUCAAAAAUGUCAUUAUCUCAGGUCUCAUCAUUAAAAUAUCUAGGCGUAAAUCUUUCAUCAAACUUCUUCUGAGCUUCCCACAUUGCCACCGUCUGCGCCAGUGCUUCUCGAUCACUGGGUUACCUGCGCGGGAACCUUCAAAACUCACCUACAUUUAUCAACCUGGCAUUUCAAACUUUCGUUCGCCCACAGCUUGAGUUCGCCGCUCCGGUCUGGUCUCCACACCAAAAUUACUUAAUUAACAUGCUGAAAUCAAUCCAGAAUAGAGCCGCAUGGUUUAUUUCCCGACAUUAUGACUACCAUUCUAGCGUAACUCCAAUAAAGCUUCAUCUUUCACUUUAGCUGCUAAGUAAUCGACGCGACAUAGCCCUUUUGUCAUUGUUUCACAAGUACGCCCACCACACUAACAAACGCUCCCUACGCCUAGAAACUUUAUCGCACACCGGUCACACAGAUUACACAAUCAUCUUAGCUUCACGCGCAUCCGCGGUAAAACUGAAGCAUUCAACACGUCUGCAAUUCCACGCGCGAUUCGUCUCUGGAACAGCCUCCCCGAUAGCAUAGUUGCGGAAACUGACCGCGAUAAAUUCAGGCACUGACUCCAAUUGCUUAUCCCUUGUUAUUCAUACUCACUGUCUGGUAUUUUUUUUUUCUAGUCUUACAGCGUGAGCUGUUAUGGACUCAUUCCAAUCGCAGUUUCGGUUGGCGAUGGUGUCUGCCGCCGCCGCCUGCGGUGUCCGGGGUCCGUAACCGCUAUCGCCGGAAAUGAGAAAAAAAGUACCCAGUUCCCGCCGGGUUUGAAUUGAAUUGAAUUGAAUGAACUUUAUUUCUCGUACAAACGAGGGGAGACUGUGUCUAAAGGCACAAAGGCCUGGCAGAGGUCCCAGCCUCACAAUUACAACAGCGGUGAUAACCAAUGCAAAUGAAUACAUAUACAACGUACAUACAUCUCGCACGAGAGAACAGAAUUUCAGUAACAAUAACGCAUGAGAGAACAGAAUUUCAGUAACAAUUACAACAUUUGUUCAUUGGAUUGAGUAAACCAAAAAAAAACAUUAGCACAAAUGGUAUCUAUAUGAAUUUUUAUGUCAUACAUGCAUACGUACAGAUGUGAAAGAAACAAAAUAUCAAUAAUUAGUGAAAGCAAUGUCAUCGGCGAGUAAUAAUGCGCUAAGCCCUCUUUUGAACGAGCUUUCACAAGCGCUAAAAUUUAUCAGUUCUCCUACCUUGUUCAAUAUUUCUGUCGAUUGAUAUAGGAAUGUUUGUUUUCCAUAAUUUGUUCUUGUUUUUGGAAUAUGUGCCUGGUUUUCUGGCGUAGUGGGUAACGAGAUAUUUCAUCAUUGUCCGUUUUGGUGAAUAGUUUUUGUUUAUGUAUGGUGACCAGAAGCUUCUUAUAAUAUAUUCUGUCUGCUCGAAGAAGGGGGUAACGCUGGAAUAAUGGAGCUGUUUCAAGGUGUACAAAACGGCCAUGGUAAUUGCAGUACAUACGAAGAAUUCGUUUCUGUAAAAGAAUUAAUUUCUUGUAGAUUGUUUUUGAAGUUGUACCCCUUACCAAGACCCCGUAGCAGAGUUUAGAGUAAAAGAGAGCAUUGUAUAACUGUUGUUUGAGCCAAAGCGGAAUUAGAUGGUUUAUUCUAUUAAUAAUAACGACCUAUUUAGAAAGGUCAUUGCAAAGCAUCCUUAUAUGUGAACCCCAGGAUAAAUGUUCAUCAAACCAUACGCCUAAGAAUUUUUGUUCUUGGACAUGGUUAAUUGUCAUUUCAUUGAAAUAAAUGUCAAUGUCAUUGGGUAUGUUCUUGUUACGAGCUCUGAAUAAAAUGUAUGUUGUCUUUGCAGUA